rnacentral:rRNA from 1 species
AACCUGGUUGAUCCUGCCAGUAGUCAUAUGCUUGUCUCAAAGAUUAAGCCAUGCAUGUGUAAGCACACACUGUUUUAAAAGUGAAGCCGCGAAUGGCUCAUUACAACAGCCACAGUUUAUUAGAACUUACGAUCAUGGAUAACUGUGGUAAUUCUAGAGCUAAUACACGCACAAAAACUUCAACUGAAUUGGUUGAAGUGCUUUUAUUAGAACAAAAACCGAACGGCGUUUGGCGAAUGUUGAACGUCGAAACUGUUUGGUGAAUCUGAAUAACUAUUUCUGAUCGCAUGGUCUAGCACCGGCGACAUCACUUUCAAGUGUCUGCCUUAUCAACCUUCGAUGGUAGUCUAUGCGACUACCAUGGUGAUAACGGGUAACGGAGAAUCAGGGUUCGACUCCGGAGAGGGAGCCUGAGAAACGGCUACCACAUCCAAGGAAGGCAGCAGGCGCGCAAAUUACCCACUCCCAGCUUGGGGAGGUAGUGACGAAAAAUAACGAGACGAUUCUCGUUUGAGAAACGUUAUCGAAAUGAGUACGCUUUACACACGCUAACGAGUAGCAAUUGGAGGGCAAGUCUGGUGCCAGCAGCCGCGGUAAUUCCAGCUCCAAUAGCGUAUAUUAAAGUUGCUGCGGUUAAAACGCUCGUAGUUGAAUUGUGGUCUUAGACAACAGUCCCCCUACAUAGGUGUGGCACGGUUGCUCGAGAUCUUCAUUCGUGGUUGCUGUUGUUGCUCUUCAUUGAGUGUCAAUGGUGCCUCGAGAUUUUACUUUGAAAAAAUUAGAGUGCUCAAAGCAGGUUGUGAUGCCUGAAUAAUGGUGCAUGGAAUAAUAGAAUACGAUCUCGGUUCUAUUUUGUUGGUUUUCGAACCGGAGAUAAUGAUUGAAAGGAACAGACGGGGGCAUUCGUAUUGCUGCGUUAGAGGUGAAAUUCUUGGAUCGCAGCAAGAUGAACAAUUGCGAAAGCAUUUGCCAAGAAUGUUUUCAUUAAUCAAGAACGAAAGUUAGAGGUUCGAAGGCGAUCAGAUACCGCCCUAGUUCUAACGGUAAACUAUGCCAACCAGCGAUUCGCCGAAGUUCAUUUAAGACUCGGCGAGCAGCUUCCGGGAAACCAAAGUGUUUCGGUUCCGGGGGAAGUAUGGUUGCAAAGCUGAAACUUAAAGGAAUUGACGAAAGGGCACCACCAGGAGUGGAGCCUGCGGCUUAAUUUGACUCAACACGGGAAAACUCACCCGGCCCGGACACUGGAAGGAUUGACAGAUUGACAGCUCUUUCUUGAUUCAGUGGGUAGUGGUGCAUGGCCGUUCUUAGUUGGUGGAGCGAUUUGUCUGGUUAAUUCCGAUAACGAACGAGACUCUACCCUAUUAAAUAGUGACAGUAUUGUAUUUUUUGUGCUGAUCACUUCUUAGAGGGACUGGCAAAUUGAAAGCUGCACGAAAAAGAGCAAUAACAGGUCUGUGAUGCCCUUCGAUGUCCGGGGCUGCACGCGCGCUACAAUGAAAGCGUCAACGUGAGUUACGUCCUUACCUGAAAAGGUUUGGCAAUCGAAUGAAACGUUUUCUUGAAUGGAAUAGGGAAUUGCAAUUGUUUCCCUUGAACGAGGAAUUCCCAGUAAGCGUGAGUCAUUAGCUCGCGUUGAUUACGUCCCUGCCCUUUGUACACACCGCCCGUCGCUACUACCGAUUGGAUGAUUUAGUGAGGUGUUUUGACUGGCGCCAGUAGUCGGAUGUAUUCGGCUUCGCGCCGGGAAAUUUCCCAAACCAAAUCAUCUAGAGGAAGUAAAAGUCGUAACAAGGUUUCCGUAGGUGAACCUGCGGAAGGAUCAUUA